GUCUAUGGCCAUACCACCCUGAUCCGGGAAGCUAAGUAGGGUCAGGCCUGGCCAUUUACUUGGAUGGGAGACCACUUGAGAUUACAAGAUGCUGUAGUUU
rnacentral:rRNA from 1 species